UAAAUCAGAAACAUAACAUAAACACCUCUUAGAUCUUAGCUUAUAUUUGGUAAAACUAUUCUUCUUGGCCAGGAACUGACAGAUACUAUAAGGGCAUUGUGAGGGGGCACAUUGCCAUGAUGAAGCAGCCAGGAGUAGUCCUGCCACAACUCUCAUCGCUUUUCCUGCACUGAAUGAAGGAAACGCAGCAGGAUCUCUUUGGAAAUGUGCUGCUUGAUCGUCUGGUGCUGUGAAAACAUAUCUGCCUCUAGCUAUGCUGAUAUGCGCAGUGCUGUCACUGGCAAAUGGUCAAUGCCAUCCUAAAGUGCUGGAACCAGUGCAAAAUAUUGUCUGGAUAAGGUCGAUAAUAAAUGGUUCCCGGUUGGAUCAUGUUGGAGAAACAGUGACUGCAUGGAUUGUACCUGCACCAGAUGCUGCUAUGCGCAUGGCAUUCCCCAAGAAUCCCUGAUGAUUGCGUGUCUGUAUUCAACAAACCGGCAUGUAAAUACAUAGUGCACAAGAGGGAUGACCUAUCUAAAGAGUGUCCAGUUUCUGGUUUAGUUGGAAAGUGAUGAAGCAAUGACAUCCCUCACCGACUCCACACUUUUAGUGGCUUUUCUGGUCGAUUAGCACACUUUCAUGAAAUAUAUUAGACAGUCUGUUAUACAUCAGUAAGUGCAGUACAUGUGUGAUAAAACGUAUACUAUUGGCGAUGUAAUGAGGAAACACCAAUGUCUCUUGUGUGAAGCCACAGACCAAUCACAGCCUGGCUGAAUGGAUGUGUGCGUGGUCUCUUGAAGCAUCAUGGGAGCGAUGACUCAACGUGACUCGUAGCUGCGCUUCCUAUGCAUUUGAACAGGAAGUAUGAAAAUUCAGCUAUUUUAAUGAUGAAAUCACUGAAAUGAUGAAAUCAUUGAAAUUAUUGGAUUGAAAAAUAAAAUCAACGUAAAGCACGGACCAUAGAACUCAUAUGGAACAAUUUAAUGUAAUCAUAAGGUUUUUUUUUUACUUUUCACACGCAGUGGAAAGGAAAGACCACCAGGGGGUAGUGCGGCUCUUGCCUCACUACCCUGACCGCACGUCACUGCCACAAACAUGCAUAUUAAACAUUUACAGAACAAGACAGAUAAUGUAUAUCAAUAUAUAUUUUUGUGAUAUUUAAUUUUGUCAUAUUUGGUGUUGGAGUAGGC